rnacentral:lncRNA from 1 species
AUCAAACUUCUGCCCUGGGCCUUUAGACAUUAGCAAAUCUAAAUUUUCAGUUGGAAGUCUUACUCCAACCACCUCCCGGACUGUUGAUAUCACCACUGCCGUUAUCUAAAAUGACACAAUCCAGGCAGGGACACAAGAAGUUGGAACAAUGAGUCUGUAAUACAGACUGAAUGUUUGCUCACAGCUGAUCUCAUGGACCAGUUUCUUCCCUGGAUGCCACCUGUAGGGAACUCACAAAGCUUCGGGAGCAAGGAUCUGUACCAGUGAUGUGGAAUGUCUCAUGAGCCGACUCCAGCACACCUUCAAGCAGGAAAUGACUGG